rnacentral:rRNA from 1 species
AUGACAUAUUCAUCAAAGCCAACAUCUAGCACAACGCUACCCUGCAUUGUUGAGGAUGAGAUAAAAGAAUACCAGUCUAAUAAUAAUGUUGACAGAAAGAUGAUAGUGCAAGAAGAGCACACACACACACCAACACGAUUUCAUGUGUUUUUGAAGAAUUCCAGCUUGUUGGGAGAGACUAAAAAAAUGCUAUUAUUGAAGUCUUACAAGAACACGCUUCCACCUCACAAUUUCAGGCGAUCGCAGUGUGGGGAAUGGGUGGUCUUGGAAAAACCACUCUGUCAUGGUUCUAAGUCUGACAGUAGAAUGGGGGGUAGGUAUGGAGAGGCAAGAUCCUAG